UUCUGCCAGGCUGAUCCACAUGUAUUUUACAAACUGCCCAGCCUCUUUCAGGUGCAUAUGUCUUUUUGAAUAUGAUGAACCCUUGGCUGGAAAUUUCCUUUUGCAUUAACAUUCUCCCUCCUCUCCAUCCUCUUGUAAAACCAACAUUUGUUAGGGUCUCUGAGAAGACUUUGGAGAACCCCACUCCAUGUUUAUAAAAUAGGAUAACCUAGUCACUCAGUCCCUUUUGGGGGCUCUACUGUACCCUGGAUAUAUUUUUUUUGGAAACACAGAUACUAUGUUGAUUGCACAUUUUUGUAUUUUUGGCCUGAAUGUGAUGUUCAGAGACUAAAGACUUAGUCUGUCUUGUGUCUUGCCAUUGUUUGAACCAAUUCUUGACCCAGGUUGAAUAUAUGAGAAUCCUUAGAAUUCUUUUUUUAAUAGCAAUGCCCAGGUUUUAUCCAAGAUGGAUUACUUCAGGAUCUUUGUGCUCAGGACAUAGAUAUGAGUUAUUUGAAAUCCUCUCCUAGGUGACCCAGCUGUGUAGCAGAUUUGAGAACCGCUGGCCUAAGCCACAGUCAGGGAGCCUGCUCAUGGAUCCAGCUGUGAAAUUCUUCUCUGACACAAUGUUGCCACUCUUUUUUUUUCUCAUCCGGUGACAAGCCAAGUGCAUCAUUUUGGAGACAUAUCUCCAGCCCUCUUUGACGUUCUGCCCAUUUCUAACGGAAGACCAAGCGCUGUGCAGUCUAUUUCCAGAGCUGCCAUGAAUAUUUAUACGUCGCCUGCAUCUUUACAAAUUAGAGAGCAUCAAGAUGAAUGAGAGUAGUGAAUCAGAGAAGACACACAGUGUGAUGCGGGCAGAAAUUUACUAUCUCAUUUCUAUUUAAAACCUGAUGACUCAGAGGAGGCAGUUCGCAUCCAUUUCAGUAAAUUCCUUAAUGCUCUCCAGCAUGGCACUUUGAAUUUUAGCACUACUGGGGGUGACUUGAUUUAUUCCCAGGGAGAAAGUCUGCUUGGUAUUUGUGUCUUUGUGUGUAUGAGUAUGUAUUUAAGUUAGAUUAUUUGAACAUACAAUAGAAAGAAAAGUAAAUUACUAGACUAAUUGUUAAUUAUUUUUGUUAAGCCUCAUUUUCUAUGUUGUCUUGGUGAUGGGAUAUACUUCCAGCCCCUAAUGAAUAAUUCUUACAUCUGACAAAAUGCUAUUUGUUUCUAAAUUGAUUUUUAAUGUCUUUGGUUUGCAUUUUCUUCACUUAGUUAGCUUUCCAGCAAUUAUUCAUUAGAGUUCCUAGCCUUUCCAUCUUUCUCAUACUCUAGUCCAAAAUAGAUUUUACAGGAGACCUGUGUUAAGAUUUAUUGUGGUAAUGUUACGAUUUGACGCUUCUGUUCUAGAAGAGCAUAGAGAGAAUUAUAAUAUGCAUUCUUUUAAGCGAGUCAUUGAUUAUCUGGCAAGUAAGGAAUUAUUUAAAAACUGCCCAUUAUAGCAUUAGAUAAGGGAAACUUGCACCAAAAGACAUCCCCAUGCUUAUAUCAUAAACUCAAAGGUGAAUGCAUUCUAGUUUCAUCAGGUACAAGGCACACAGUCUGUGGUAUGAAGUCAGUGUGGUGGUAUUCAUUUCCGGCUGUGACUUAGAAACACAAAUCAUCAACACAAGGUUCCAAAUUAGCAUUCCGGGUAGAUAGAUACUGAAUUCCAAAACAUCCUACUUCUCCUCUCGCUGUUGACCACUUGACCAAUGAACAAACUCUUCUACGUAGUCUGAAUGUUGAGAGUACACGUACAUUUUUUCCCCGUUGACUGUCUUCGCCACUCACAAGAGGGUGUUGUCUGACCUUUAUGGCAAGAGCUUUGAAAUCUCCCACUCUUUCAACAAUAGCCAUUUUCAUUAGGUAUUUAUUCACUCAACAAAGAAGUAUUUUGGCCUUCCUAUACCAGGUGUUGAAGUGAUUUCUUUGCAGGAGCUCACAAUCUAACAGGGGAAAGAUAUUAAAUUAAAUAUUAAAAUUCACUGAAAAGCACGAGUGCUCUGCUGUUGGAGUAUCAGGGAUUAUGAAGACCUGAAACAGAGAAGUUAGACAAAAAUGACUCUUCUUGAGGAAAUAAGACUUCGAGUUCAGAUUUGAAGGAAUCUAAGAAACAUGUUUUGGUGAGAGUGGAUGAGAGACUUGAGAAAUUAUGGCCAGCCACAUUUUAUGUAUCAAGGGCUACAAGGGACAUUGUACUCACUUUGUAAUUAAAGAUAUUUAUUCUAAUUGUGGUGUCCAAGGAGCCAGCUGGUCAUCAGUGUAUUAAGCCAAGCAGCCAUAUGACCAAAAAGGGAAAUGACAUAGGUCUGGAGGCUGAAAUGAGAAUUUUGGUUCAGGUGACUUACUGAGGACAUGCUCUCAGGGGCAGGGAAGUGAGGGAUGCAGAAUGACACAAGGGAAGAUGAGCUAAGCAGGAGAGUGAGCUCAACCAGAGUGUAGCCUGAAUUGCUGCACAAAUAAAACAUAAAAAGCAAAGCAGCUGCCUUCUUGUAGGCAUCUCAAGUGGUUAUUGCCAUGGGGGUGUGUGUGCGUGUGUGGUGGGAUGGAGUGACAGAGUGAGAUGGGUGGUAUUCCUACAGCUUCCCAGAAAGGUGAUUUCCUUUGGCUGGAAAAUCCUUUCAGAACACAAACAGACCCAAAACAAAACCACCCCAGAAAAGAGAACUGCUAUCAAUUGCAGUCAGUCACCAUUCACAGUAGCUGGUAAAGGAAAUCUGGGUAGGAUACCAACGGCCUCUGCUUCAGCAGUGAUUUCUCUGGACCAGCAGCAGCAUUGCUUGGAGACUUCCAGCAAUCCAAAUUUCCAGAUCCCAGCUGAAAACUACUGAAUCAAUCAAUACAGGUGGUGGUGUCUGGCAAUUGGGAGGAGUUGGGGAGGUGGGGGGGAGUCUAAAGCCUUUCAGUGAUUCUGAUGUAUGCUCACGUUUGAGAAGCACUGCUCUGCCAGAAGCAUUUAAAAUAGGUGGUAGAGGAAUUCCCAUUAUGGUUCAGCGAUUAACAAACCUGACUAGGAUCCCUGAGGAUGCGGGUUUGAUCCCUGUCCUUGCUCAGUGGGUUAAGAAUCCAGCAUUGCUGUGGUGUAGGUCACUGACACAGCUCAGAUCUAGCAUUACUGUGGCAUAGGCCAGUGGCUGCAGCUCUGAUUG
rnacentral:lncRNA from 1 species